AUCGAUGAAGAACGCAGUGAAAUGCGAUAAGUAAUGUGAAUUGCAGAAUCUCAUGAAUCAUCGAAUCUUUGAACGUACAUUGCGCCCUAUGGUAUUCCGUAGGGCAUGCGUCAGCUCCCACCCACUCAGGUAUCUGUUUAUCGGAUGCUUGGAAUGCUUUGGAGAGGCGUCUUAUUAUAGAAACGCCCCCCAGAAAUUAAUAGGCAGUAUGGUUUGCACCUGAACCAGAGACGUAAUAAUAAUAAAAUCGUUUUGUUUAGGUAUAAUUGUGCUUGCCUCAACCCACCCAUCUUUUUAUUUUCGGGUGACCUCAGAUCAGGUAGGGAUACCAGCUGAACUUAAGCAUAUCAAUAAGUGGAGGAAAAGAAACCAACAGGGAUUGCCUUAGUAACGGCGAGUGAAGCGGCAAAAGCUCAGAUUUGAAAUCUGGCGUCAUUUUGGCGUCCGAGUUGUAGUCUGUAGAGGUGUAUUCGAGUGUGGCUUUGGCUUAAGUUCCUUGGCACAAGUAGAGUGAUCGAAAGAUGAAAAGAACUCUGAACAGAGAGUCAAAUAGUACGUGAAAUUGUUGAAAGGGAAGCACUUCCGACCAGACGCACUUGCAGCCGAUCAAUCUUCAUUCUUGAGGGUGCACUCGGUUGUCUGUGGGUCAGCAUCAGUUAUGGCGGUGGGAAAAAGACUAGCUCCUUUUGGGGAGUGUUAUAGCCUUUGGUGCAAUGCUGCCUGCUCUAACUGAGGACCGCGCUUCCGUGAGGAUGCUGGGGUGAGGAUGCUGGCAUAAUGGUCGUAAGUGACCCGUCUUGAAACACGG
rnacentral:rRNA from 1 species